CCCUUAGAUGUUCUGGGCCGCACGCGCGCUACACUGACGGAGCCAACGAGUCUUUUCCUUGUCCGGAAGGACUGGGUAAUCUUGUGAAACUUCGUCGUGCUGGGGAUAGAGCAUUGCAAUUAUUGCUCUUCAACGAGGAAUGCCUAGUAAGCGUGAUUCAUCAAAUCGCGUUGAUUACGUCCCUGCCCUUUGUACACACCGCCCGUCGCUCCUACCGAUUGAAUGUGUUGGUGAGGAGCUCGGAUUGGCAGCAGUUGGUGGUUCGCCACCGGCUAUUGCUGAGAAGUCCUCCAAACCGCCCCAUUUAGAGGAAGGAGAAGUCGUAACA
rnacentral:rRNA from 1 species